UACGGCAAAAAUACCAGAUUCCGUUAAGGUUCAAGAAAUUCAGGACGUGGUUAAAAAGGCACAUCUUGGGGCCUACCUUGGACUUACUGACGCAAGUCUGGGAUCGGGUUCCAGGAAUACGCAUUUCAGCAAGCUCUUCAGGUCUAAAAAUUCUCCAGCUCAGAGAUCCAACUGGAUGAGAGGGAAGGUCGUGUGAGGACAGGUGGCUGUGUGCUCUAGAACAGAGCUUUCACCAGACACUGAACUGUACCAGAACUGUGAUUUUGGACUUUCCAGCCUCC